rnacentral:rRNA from 1 species
AGCAGCCGCGGUAAUUCCAGCUCCAAUAGCGUAUAUUAAAGUUGUUGCAGUUAAAAAGCUCGUAGUUGAAUUUCGGGAUCAAGGAAUCGGUCAUGCCUUGGUAUGUCCUGGUUUUAUUGGUUCUCACCUUCUAAAGAACCAUAAUGUCAUUUAUUUGAUGUUAUGGGGAAUUAGGACUGUUACCUUGAAAAAAUUAGAGUGUUUAAAGCAAGCUUACGCUUGAAUACAUUAGCAUGGAAUAAUGAAAUAGGACAUCAGAUUCUAUUUUGUUGGUUUCUAGGAUCGAUGUAAUGAUUAAUAGGGAUAGUUGGGGGCAUUAGUAUUCAAUUGUCAGGGGUGAAAUUCUUGGAUUUAUUGAAGACUAACUACUGCGAAAGCAUUUGCCAAGGAUGUUUUCAUUAAUCAAGAACGAAAGUUAGGGGAUCGAAGACGAUCAGAUACCGUCGUAGUCUUAACCAUAAACUAUAGCCGACUAGGGAUCGGAUGAUGUUAAUUUUUAAUGACUCAUUCGGCACCUUAC